UUCUCUGUAGCCGCCGCCACCGCCGCCGCCUCCUGAUGAGUAUCCGCCACUUCUGUAGCCGCCACCGCUGCUGCCGCCACCAAAGCUCCUCUCUCCGCCGCCACCACCACCACCAAAGCUUCUGUCACUGUAGCUCCUGUCCCCAUAUCCCCUGUCUCCAUUGAAGCCACCACUUCCACCGAAAUCUAAUGAAAAGAUAAUAAAUAAGUUAGCACUGACCAAAUGGACAAAAACAGAAAUAUUCAAAUAAAUUUGAAUUAAUCAAAUAAUAAGAGCGCUGCGAUACGUACUGUCUUCCCCUCUAGAGUACCCUCGUCCGCCCCUCCCCCCCCUGGAGUUUGUGAAUCGGCCACCUCGUGGUGCUGAACCAAAACCAGUCCUCUGGCGUCCACCUCCCUUUCCCGCUUCAUCAACGCGAAUCGCUCUGCCAUCGAGAGUCUGAAACACAAAUCCCUCGUUAAUAUCUUUGUGUAUAUAACACACUGAAAAACGAUGGAUGGACCGGUUCAAUACUAAAAAUACAAAAAAGCAUUAAAUCAUUUUUAUAUUAAAAUGUAAUACACUGAUAGAUUACAAUGAUAAAAUGAUUUACCUUGCCGUUCAUUGCCUCCAAUGCAUCUUUGGCGUCCUCUGCGUUGUUGUACUUAACAAAGCCGAAGCCACGAGACCUUCCGGUCUCUUUGUCUCGGAUCACGUCGACUAAAAAAGGGAAACGGUCAAAAAAAAAUUAAUUCAACCCGUUAAAAUACUCGAUCGUGUCGAGUGGACUGUGAUUUAUCAAUGGGAAGAUUGAAAUGUAGGAGGCGCUACCUUUCUCCAUGUUUCCAUAUUUGCCGAAGGCCGCACUGAGAGACUCCUCGUUGGUCUCGAAGCUCAGUCCUCCGACGAAUAAUUUACCUUCGUCCGACAUUUUUAUGUGUAGUUAAACAACACACCAACAACACCUACAGGCACAGAGAACACAAAUUUGUUAAACCUUCGCUACUAACAUCGACUGCCGUGUAAGUAGGUCACUGGUACCGUUACACGAGGUAAGGACCAACCCUCCCUGCGCAAUCGUGCAAAAAAAGUCCGGCUGUUAUCGCGGCAUCAAACGAGACCAUAAAUAAGUUAUAUUUCAUUGAGAUUGGUCGGAAAAAAACCAAUUGGCUUGUUGGUGCAUAGUAAGGCUUCGGGCCUACACGCAUGCCUCGGCUCAGUUAGCGGAUCAGCUAUCAUCUUCUCCUGUGGGCGCCAUUUUGUAGCGCCGAGCUGAUGCGUCCACUUUGUUUCACGGCCCGCCAGUUACCGCUGCCUCAUUCUCAACCUUAUAUAACUGAGCGAUUAGCAUGUUUGUAGAGAUUAGCGGAAUCCAAAUGAUCUUAUAUUCCUUACAAAAGAAGAAAGGGUUGUUUUAACACGGUCGAAAAAAUGUCGUUGCAUGGGGGGGGAAACGCACAUUUGUUCGUCACCAUUACAUUAUCGAGCUACGGUCUCGAGGCAAGAUUUCUUUAAAAAAUAUAUAACCAUCAAGUAGAAUACACAAGUCGCAUCGAUAUUUGUACGUCACAAAGACCACGAAGAGAAAUGUGCGCAUCGUCAAAGUUUAAAGAGCAUUUACCGUUUCUAUGUCAGGAGCGGAAGGACGAUCAGCGGAGCUGCAGGUCGAAUGAGGGAGAAUGGAAGCGGCGCUCCGCUUUUCAGCGCGCACCCAGCUAUCUUCUUCUGCGAAAUUCGACACCUAACACGGCGGCUCUACAGCGCCACCUAUCGACCCGGCUGCUCUAACCGCCACGGGAUUGGGUGGGGGGAGCAGAAUAUCUCCUCUGUGAUCAAUGAUAUGUCUGAUGUGGAUUUUCAACAAAAACCCAGUCCAUCUAUCUUGUCAAUAAUGACAGUCAAUAAUCUCUUUCUCCGUCACGGACAAAAAUCCUCACAUGAAUCUAUAAGUGCCAUCUGUAAAAAAAAAUAUAUAUAAAACUAUAUACAAAGGAAUUGUUUUGCUCCCUUUCGCUUUCAUAACAAGUGAUACAACACCCAGGAUCCCCAAUAUAAAUAUCAAUAGCUUUUUAUUUAUGAAAGCAGAUAAUAUACUAUUUCAUGAGAGGAAUUCAUUAAGCACACUUUUCUUCGGAUUGGCCGGUGUUCCUCGUAGAUGUAGAUAUCGUGGAGGAUCGUAGGUGUUUAAUGCACUAAAUGUAAGUCGCUUUGGAUAAAAGCUUCCGUUAAAAUGACAUGUGAUGUGAACAAGACGCAUUUAAUUCGACCGGUAUCUGUUGAUUACUCUAUCUCUCAGGAAUCCUCUGAACCGAACUGGGGACAAUGUGAACACAGUCACAACAGCAGCAGACAUGUUUACGUUCCGUAGCACACUUGCAGCACGCACGCGUACACUGCGUGGAGCGGACAUACCCGGACUCCUUACUUAUUGUGCUGAUUUGAACAAAUCUCAGCCAUGAACUCCCCAAAUACAAACAGUUUAUUGAAUCAGAAAGAGAGAACACUCUGGAUCACUGUUACACAAUAGUGCACCGCGGUGCAUUAUGGGACAUUCUGACCACGCCAUGGCCAACCUGAUUCCCGCCAACAGGCAGCAAAGGAAAGCUCUCUCUCUCUCUCUCUCUCUGUCUCUCUCGUUAGGACUGCACUGACUGACUGCUGUAUCCAUAUAUCUAUGGCUGUAUCAGGGGCUUGGACAGAUCACAAACUACAAACCUUCAACCCCCACUCCAUUAAUUAAUUGUGCCUUUAACCAGCUGAACCAGUUCUACUGUCGUUUUGAAAGACAAUGGUCUACACCAACAACAGCUCAGCAGGGCGCAGUGACCCUUCACACCUUCCCCCUCUACCACAGUGUCAUCCCUUUCCAUCCUGAAGAGGGGAGUCAACCAGCUCCUCAGGAGAGAAACCCCCCACAAAGCAGAUGCUCAGCUGUCUCCAGUGUUCACAGAAAUUUUUAACACCUCACUGGAGACAUGUUAUAUGCCACACUGCUUCAAAUCCUUCGACACCAUCCCCAAAAAACCAAGGACCACAGAACUUAAUGACUACAGUCCCGUUACCCUUACUUCUGUGGUAAUGAAGUCUUUUGAUCACUUGGUCUCUUCCACCUCAAGGACAUCCCCAACCCCCCUCCAAGACCAUCUACAGUUCAACACUUUAACCCCCUGCUCUGCUCCAGGGAGAGAGACUUACCAGAGAACGUGCCGGAGAAGACGCCUGGAGAGUGGCUCUCAAAGCUCUCUAUGACUGCUCCUGGCUGCUUGCACAGCUCUUCAGCUGAAGACGAAUUAUCACUAGUCUGUGAAAAAGAAAGAGGGAAAGUU